rnacentral:rRNA from 1 species
CUGACAGCAGUAGCGUGCAGGAUGACGGCCCUAUGGGUUGUAAACUGCUUUUGUAUGGGGAUAAAGUCAAUCACGUGUGAUUGUUUGCAGGUACCAUACGAAUAAGGACCGGCUAAUUCCGUGCCAGCAGCCGCGGUAAUACGGAAGGUCCGGGCGUUAUCCGGAUUUAUUGGGUUUAAAGGGAGCGUAGGCCGGAGAUUAAGUGUGUUGUGAAAUGUAGACGCUCAACGUCUGACUUGCAGCGCAUACUGGUUUCCUUGAGUACGCACAACGUUGGCGGAAUUCGUCGUGUAGCGGUGAAAUGCUUAGAUAUGACGAAGAACUCCGAUUGCGAAGGCAGCUGACGGGAGCGCAACUGACGCUUAAGCUCGAAGGUGCGGGUAUCGAACA